GACGAACGCUGGCGGCGUGGCUAAGGCAUGCAAGUCGAACGGACAUGUUCCAAGGGCAACUGCGGGACAUGUUAGUGGCGAACGGGUGAGGAAUACAUGGAUAACGUACCCUGGACACGGGAAUAGCGGCGGGGGCAACCCCUUUGCGAAAGUGCCGGUAAUACCCGAUGACCCCGCGGAAUCGCAUGGUUUUGCGGGCAAAUGCUCCGACGGUCUGGGAUCGGUUCAUGACCUAUCAGCUAGUUGGUGAGGUAACGGCUCACCAAGGCAACGACGGGUAGCGGGCGUGAGAGCGCGACCCGCCACAUCGGGACUGAGACACUGCCCGGACACCUACGGGUGGCUGCAGCAACGAAUAUUCCGCAAUGGACGCAAGUCUGACGGAGCGACGCCGCGUGAGGGAUGAAGGUCUUUGGAUUGUAAACCGCUGUCACGCGUUGUGAAUGCGCAGCAGACAAUACCUGCUGCGUUGAC
rnacentral:rRNA from 1 species